AGGAGGCAGGGAGUGAAACUGCCCGAGGAGGAGAGGAGAGGAGAAGAGGGGAGGUGAGAGGAGAGGAGAGGAGAGAAGAAGAGGGGAGGUGAGAGGAGAGGAGAGGAGAAGAGGGGAGGUUAGAGGAGAGGAGAGAAGGGGAGGUUAGAGGAGAGGAGGGGAGAUUAGAGGAGAAGAGAGGAGAGGAGAGGAGAAGGGAGGAGGGGAGAGGAGCUGUAGCUAGGUCACAUGUGGACAGGAUCCAAGUGGAGAAAUGGGUGGACAGGGCACAAAUGGGGGAAUGACAGCCUAUUCACUGAGGAUAGGAAAUGCACAUAAAGGACAGAUGAAGAUGAUUUCUCUGUGUGUGACUAGAAGGAUACCGAUUACAAAGAUAAGAGUGAAAGGAGAGGGAGGAAAGGGGAAAAGGGAAUAAAUAAGAAGAUGAAAUAAGCAAUGAAUGUCCAAGUACUGAUAUGAAUCCUCAGAAAAUCACCAGGCUGUUAGGCUGAGUCAGAAGAAGAGCCACAACCGUACCCAAGAGGGGACCAUCGGAAAGACAGAAGCAGGCAAUUUAAGUAGCUAGCUACUGGGGUAAAAUGAAAAAAAUAGAAGAUGGAAAAGGUGAGAAGCAAAAGAGGGAAAACCCAAAGGAGACACUGGCCCAGAAACCUUUUUAACUUUCUGUAAGAAUCUUCAAGUCCCCAAACUAGGCCAAGAUUCUGACUGACAUUUCUGAGCUCACCAGCUGCCGUUUCCUUGAGAGAAUUCUGACAGGAAGGCAUAGAAAUGCGAGCCAACACUGCCAGCUCUGGAAAAUAAAUAAAUAAGUAAAUAACUACCCACAUCCUAAACACCUCAGUGGGGACCGAAGCCUGCUGGGAAGGAAGCCCAGAGAGGAGGAGGGACCCGCCUGCAACUUUUCCCCAGGAAGCUCAGAAUAUAAGGACCAAUUUUUUGCCCUCAAACUGUGGAGUGUCAGAAACAUUAACCUAGAGCAGUGGUUCUCAGAGUAUGGACCCCAGAUCAGCAGCACCAGCAUUACCUGGGAACAUGCUGUUCCUACCCCCAGUUCCUGAAUCAGAAACUCUGGGGAUAAGACUCAGCAGCCUGUGUUUCAGCAAGUUGUCCACCUAAUUGAUGCACUAAAUUAAUCGGAAGGUUAAGAGUUUUUAAGGAGCUCUUCCUGGAAUCCACAGUAUUCAGAUCUCCUUACAUGCUGAUCAUCUACAGAGCUAGAGCUUGUAAAAGAGACCUUCCAACAACAACAACAACAACAACAAAAAAUACCAACCUCUCAGUUCCUCAGUCCCUCCAUCUGUAAAAUAGAACUAUUUCUAAUAUACUUGUUACAAUGCUUAGAACAGGACCCGCACACUGUAAGUGUUCUGUAAGGGUGGUGAUAGUGGUGGUAGCUUUAUCCAUUUGACUCUUACUGUGCUAAAGGCCUUUGGCAGGUGGUUGAGAAAUCAAACAUGAAGCAGUCAGAGUGCUGGCCCUCUAGGAGAAGAGAUAUAUAUGCAUGACACGUACACGAGGAAUUAGAUGCAAGAUAAGAUGUGAUUCAUGCCCAAUUACAGAUAUAGGAACUAACACAAGGAAGAGAAUUGAGAGAAAAUUUUGGGAAGAAAGUGGUUUUUGAAGUAAACCUUAAAGAAAGUAAUUUUAACUAGUGAAAUGGGCAAAGGAAAAGAAUAUUCCUGGUGGAAACUGAGCCUAGGGGAUAUGGGAAAGGUAAGAGAUUAGUGGUCAGUUGUAGCAUUUCUGUCACUAAGAUGUUGACUACUCAUGUUGUACAGAGGGAUCACCCUGUUCUGGGUCUAACCAUUUAUCACCAUGUUUGCAGAAAUUCAUCCUUUAAUCCAAACUAAGUUAUUUUCUUUGGACUAUUGUGAAGUGAGUCCUUUCCAGGAUUCAUGAUUUUAUUACUGUAGAAUCCAUAUCCCUUUUUCUUGUUUGUUUUUAGAUCAAUGUUUUUCAAAGUCUUCUGGCCACUUGUAACAGACUAAAAUGGCAGGGGUGGGGAGGAUGGUGGUGUGCAAAAAUGUAGGUUCCUGCGCCCUGACCCAAGUCACUUAUCUCACUGCCUGUCAGAUCAAGUCAGUGAAGAUCAAGUCAGAAGAAUCUGCAUAGAAACUUGGGAUUCUAAUGUUCCCUCAUGCAUGAAAGCAACUGUCCUAGAGCCGUUCUUUCCUAACUUUGCCAAGCAUAGAAGUCACCUAGGAGUGACUGCUUAAAAGGUAGAUCCCCAACUAUUACCUUGGAGAUUCUGAUCCAUGGCUCUAGAGUGGCGUGCUCCCCUACCAGGGAGCAGGGAUUUUAAUAAGUGCCUCAGACACACCAAGAAUCAGGCAAGGUUUAAUACAGCAUAUUAGAGCGAAUGUAUGCUUUGGGUUAGAGAGUAACAUCAAGUCAAAAGUCUGCCAUUUACUUGCUGAAUGAUUUUGGCAAGUUUCUUAGCCACUCUGUCUCCGGAUUACUUAGCCUGCUUGAGACAGUUUUAUCCUGUGUAAUAAAAUGCCUUUCAUGAGAUUGUUGUAAGCAUGAAUCCUCUAAAUAAGUGGCUUAGUAUAAUGUUGGCUCCCUCUCCUUCCCUUGCCCUACUCUCUCCUGAAGUUCCAGCUUCAAUUCUUGUGGAUGAGAAGCAGGGCAAGGACAACUGUGAUGGUGAAAUGCCACUGAUACCUCUUCUGGGGAAAGUGGCAGAAUGCCAACAGGAAGAGAAGGUGGGCUCUUGGAGCUGGCACUGCUCUUGGUGCUGGCACUGCUCUUGGCUGUCCCUGGGAAGUUAAAUGGGACUCAUGCCUGUGAUCAAAACAACAUUCAGAACUGGCCUGUUCUCUAAAAAUAGCAAGACAUUCUGGCUGAGCCCAAAAAAAAUAAGGUCUUUCCCCAACAUACAACCCCAUGCUUGCCUUAAAAGGAGGGACCUCUACUUUAUUUCCAACCUUCUCAGGAUGAUGGAAAGCCUCAAAUAAUUUGGCUUUUACUUGAUGAGUAGCAGAAUCACUUCUAUUUCAUGGACAGCCACCAAGAACACCAGGAAUAGAUACCAGCACUUAAUGUCAUAAGACGUCAGACUUUGAAGUGGGUGCAUCAGUGCAGGCCACGCCUUCUGCAGACACUAGUAGGGUUCUAAUUCCCAUAAAAGUAUGCAAUUCUGAUUAUAUUUUAGCACAUUAGUAUCAGUUGUUUAAAACUUCCAAGCUUCACCAGGGGCAGAGAUGGAAUAAGGAGAGCUAAGAUGCCUGUAUUAGAAAUUCAGAGAGGCAGCUACGGGUGAUUGUUCUGCACAGAAUCCUGGUUUUCUAUCCUCACCAGCAAAGAAUAGACAAACUAAGGUCAGAUCUAACAUCAGAGGGAAAAUACCAUGUGGCCAGUAAGGGGACAGUCUGAGCAUCUCAUCACAUAUAUCCUUUCACAAAACUCCUAAAAGUGAGACUAGCAACCUGGACAUUCAGAACCUGUAAAGAUUCUUGUCAGAAAUGAUACUGAUGAAUACCUUUCCUUAACAAAUCCUUUUAACAUAUAUAAAAAUGUUUUUAAAUAUUUUUAAAAGCAUACCAAAACUGUGAAAGACAUGUUUCUGAUAAUAUUUAUCUUUCUCAAGUAUCUUUGAAUUACCCCUUACAUAAAAAACAAUUGUCAUGUUAAUGAAACCCUUUAAAGUAAACGAAAUAUAAGGAUUUCUAUGUAGUAAGUAGAUUCCAUUGAUGGAUUAAUACUAAUUAAUAUGUUAAUUGCAUAUUAAUGAAUAACACGUGAUUAUUAAGCUCAUUAUUAUGUUGAUUGUAUAUUAGUAAUAGAUAAUAAUAGUAAUAGAGGCUAUUUGUUAGACUUCAAAUACUAUGCUCAUGGCACAUUACAUAAACCUAAUUCCUCCCAUUGAGGAAGCACUAUUGGCUGCACUUUACAGAUGAGGAAACUGAGACUGAAAGAAGUUAAGUAGCUUGCUCAAGUCACAGAUGUCCAAGAAAUGCUGCUUCUCCCUGAACCACUCCAUGGCCAAUAACCUUGAAGAUUGCAACAUUGUGUUUGUCUAUAACUCAGACUUCCCUCAGUCUUAACCUGUCCUUAAUUUUACCCAAAUCCAACAGGCUUUCUAAGGACUAUUAAUGAGAAAUGAGCAUCCUCCUGUCUUUUUAAUUUGUUGAGUCAUUUAUGUUCAAACACUGCCGUGCUCAGCAAAAUAAACUGAAAAAGAACCAUUAUUUGCUGUUUCUGCUUUUGAGGCUACUUUUUCAUGGUUACUUAAGUCUGGAACGCUUUUAAAUGGUGCUUACUUCUCAGAACAAGGGAAAGGACAUGUUAGUAAUUUAAGUUGUCUGAUUAUGAGGCAGGGCUGGGGUGCAGAAUAAAUCUUGUUUUCAAUAACAUGUUGAAUGACAUUUUAUAUUGCCAUUGGCCCAUUCUCCUAAGAAACUCAGGAUAUUCACAUGUGUUAUCUCAUUAAUCUUCAACCCAUUCUUUGGUGGGCAGCUGGGGACACAACUGCUAUUUACAGAUAAGUGGCAUGGGAUUUGGUAUAGGAGUGAGAACAGAAAGCUGGUGAUUUGGUCAAUAUCACCCAGAACACAAGUGGCCAAGUGACACACCACAUCGCCCAAUUCUUUCCAUUAAUAGUACCUACUAAAGUCAAAAUAUUUGGGUAGAUAGGAAACCAAAUAAAUAACCUGGAAAAAUCCCACAUCCAAUUGCCAUAUAGAUGCCCUUUUCUAUAUACAAAGCACAGAGAAAUGUGUCUUUGUGUUCUCCAUCCUAGAUUUUUUAUUCCUACUAUUUUGUCCUGUCUAAAAUAUGUUGGUUUUGUCAUAACUUGUCUUUCAUGACUUUUCUUCCUUGUAUCUUAAGCUAAAUGUCCAGGAAAAUGGGAGGAAGGUGUAGACAAGGCUUUCAUCACAGAUAUUCCCAUUUCAAACUUUCUCUUGACUGCCAAACUUUCUCUAGAAUACCAAAAUUCUCUCUGCAUUCUAAAUUUAUAAGAAUUUAGCCAGGUGUGGUGGCUCAUGCCUAUAAUCCCAGCACUUUGGGAGGCUGAGGCGGGUGGAUCACGAGGUCAAGAGAUCGAGACCAUCCUGGUCAACAAGGUGAAAUCCCAUCUCUACUAAAAAUACAAAACUUAGCUGGGCAUGGUGGUGUGCGCCUGUCGUCCCAGCUACUCAGGAGGCUGAGGCAGGAGAAUUGCUUGAACCCAGGAGGCGGAGGUUGUGGUGAGCCGAGAUCGCGCCAUUGCACUCCAGUCUGGGUAACAAGAGUGAAACUCCAUCUCAAAAAAAAAAAAAGGAAUUUAGUUGCCUGGACUCCUAAAUUGUCAAGCAAUCGGUUACUAACAUUUGUUUUUCUCCUGCAGAUUUUGCAGUAAACUUUUAAGUAAUCUUUUCGCCCUACAAAGUUAGACUUGGCAAAGUCAAAACAAUUCACACCCAAAUGUUGGGGACAGUCUGAUGGGAUAGUUUGUACUCUCUUGGCUAUCUCAACUAUUUUCCCUGAAAAUCUUUUUCUUUUGUAUUCUUACAUGAGUUUAUGAAGUUCAUUCUGGCUCAUGGAUAGCAAGUCUCUUAAAGCUGGCUUUUUCUAGUUCUUUGAACAUAAAACUCAAUGGUUCCUCUCAUCGGUGCUAAUCCUCACUCCUCACUACUCACUUGCCAAACACUUAUGGAGGAUCUCCAUCUGACAGGUGUAACUAGAUAAAAUGGACAUUUACUCAGCUCUUAAGUUCACUGGUUCUGUUAAAAAAAAAAAUGAAAAAUUUUAAUUUCUCAGAGGCACAGCCACAUCUCUUUCCUCUGUUGACCAAGCUGCCUCCUGCUAUCAGCCCCUGAUAAAACAGUGUUUUCGGUUGUCCACUGUUCCCAAACUUAGAGGAGGAAGGGUAACCCCAAACUCUCACUUCUAUGAAGCCCAUACUUGACAAAGGGAGAAAACAGUGUUUUCAGAGCAGAGGCUUAUAUAGCCAUUAGAUGGGAUUAAAUGACCAUUGAAUGAUUCCCAACAUCAGCUUGAAAGAUUUUGACUGGUAUGCCAGAGACAUUUUCCUAUUUUCCUAAGAAACAGUAUGGUUUCUAUGCCACUUCCAUCAGCAACACCCCAAACACAAAGUCACAAAAGGAUAAAGGUACACCAAGUCAAAACCCAUAGAAUUUUCUUUCCUUCCUUCUCAACAUUUUUUUUUUCUAAGCCUCUCUCCAUGGGUUAAUCCAAAACUGUGUCUCCAAUCUGAUUAGUUUUUUUUAAAAGAAUUACCAUUUACAAAUAUGUUGAUUAAUUCAUUUCUACAAUCUUCAUUUUUCUCCUCUGUAAAAUCAGAUAAAAUUGCUACAUUUCAUAGAGUAAGUAGGAUUCAAGGAGCUCACAUAGGCAAAGCACUGAAAUGAUCCUGUUAUAGAAAGCAUACUUAUAAAAAGUUACCUCUUAUUUUUAUUACUGGGGUUAGAUGUUUUUAACCACCACAGCCAGUGCUGUGAGCCUCAGGCCUUUUUGGGGGGGGCAACUCUUCCCUUUGGCAUCCUUUUCCCCAUUUUCUGGCAGAGAAUCGGAUACCAUGAAUUUCAAAACUCCAUCUCCUUCGAGCCAGGGUGGCCGUCCAGACCCUGAGUGGCUCAACAGCUGCCAAUGUCCCUCACCCUUCUGUGGCUCAGGCCUCACAGACUGUGGGGCAGGUGAUGGGCUAGGGAGAGCAGAAGCCUGACAAAAGGAUCCUUCCCACAAAGAACAAUUUGUGCUUGGAAUGCUGCAUGGGCAGCUGCCGCCAUCAACAAGCACCCAAGACAGACAGAUGUACAGUAGGAAGUACAGGAGGGCCAGGUGUGCUUCUAAGCAUGAGUGGCUCCCUGCAUGAAUGCAGAAUAUUUGUGAUUUUUCCUUCACUGGAUCCCAAACAUUAAAAAAGAAUCACAUCAAAAUGCACAAAAGCAGCAGCAGUGAAUUAAUUAGUAGUAACAACAAAGGAUUUGAUAGACUGUGGCUGCAUGAGAAUAAGCCAGGGAUACUUGAUGCCAUUUACCUGUGAACAAACAGCAGGGGAAGAUUUGGUCCCAAGCAGCACUGCCAUUCCUUGCAACAGAUUUAUUUCAGGAUGGUUUGGUGGGGUGGGGGAGGGCCAGGAAUUUAGGAUGAGUUGAGAUCCCAGUGACCCUUCCUGCUAAGCGGUUCCUGCCGCAGCAAGGAGGAAAGAUGCUACAAGUGGCCCAUGUCUGAGAUGCAGGCUGCUUCUGGAUGACACUGCUUCCCGAGACCACAUGCUUCUUUAUAUCCCCAUAUGGAUUACUUUGCUAUGGAAUGUAAGGAAGUGUGUGGUUUCGGCAAGUGCCUCCUCGCUAAUCCCAGGGUACCACCCGGAGCACGGGCUUGGUGACCUUCUUCCUCAUCAGGGCUUUGUGCCAGCAAAUGGAAGCAAGAGCCUUUGAAUCCCAUCUGGGCUCCUCCUGAGCACCCCUUUCUCCCCUUCUUGAGGUGUCCUCGCUCAGCCCAAGGUUUCAGACACACUUGACUGCUGUGACCAGCCUCCCAGAUCUGGCUACUCAGGCCAGCGUGGUGGGGAAAGGCUUUUCCCCCAAAGGAUUUUCAUAGAAUCAGCCCUCACCCUCCUAGCUCCUUCCUCUGGUCAUAUAGCUCCUGAAAUGAGAGGUUUCCACAACCAAACUGAAUCAUCAUUUCUUUCAAGCCAUAUGUUUCACAGGCAUUUCUCAGGGCUUUCAUUGUACAGAGGCAGGUGCUGUGAGUGAGGUUCAGGAAACCACAGAAAACAACUCAUCCUGGGUUACAAUCCCCUGACUCUGCUCUGCUGUUCUUUCCACUUUGCAGCACAGCCCUGUCCCAAAUGGACUCUGCAAGACUGUUUGAGGAAAAGCCUUGAGAUGCUAAAGUAGUGAUUCACUCAGCUAAUGGGAUAGUUCCUUUCUCCACUCUUCCCUAAACCUCUGUGUUCCCAGCUCUGACUCCAAAGGACUUGAGCCCACACCAAGAAAGUGCUGAACCUACAGAGGGAAGCCCUGAGCAGGAGGGAAGGCUGCAGUCACCCAAGGCUCAUGCCAUCACCCCACAAAGAGUUUCAGAACAAGGGAGGAAACUCCCUCCCUCACACUCCAGUUUCAGGAUGGCUCCUGCAUCCCACAGCUCUACCUCCUUUUUGUAGGGUGAGUGCAUGUGAGAGAUUAUGUCUGGUACCACACUAAGUUUACACCAUGAGUUCUUAAGCAAAACCACAAAAGGAAACCUGAGAGGAUUUGACCGAAGUGUAAAGAGAUGCACAAGACAGGGCUGUGAAAUGAAACUGAGCAGCAGCAGAACAAGGACACAGGAGAGGAGGAAAGGGAAGGAAGAAGGGAGGAUGCACCAUGUUUGCACAGAGAUGGCAGAAGAGUGCAGAGCAGCUGGUGAUGAGAGGCCCCUGGCCCUCAGAGGCGACAGCACCCAGAACACUGGGCCAAGGCUCCCUUUUCACAAACUGGACUCAGCAACACUCAUGACACAAGCCUCCCACCUCUUCCAGAAAGCAGAGAAUUGUCUAAUGGCCUUUAAGAGCAUAAAACCUAUACUUUGAGGGGGGUGGUGGAAGGAACUUGGAAGGACAUGGUAAAUUACUAGAGAUGGGUCUCCUAAAAAACUAAGCACCGAGACUUCUCACUUUAGAUUAGUGGUCCUACUAUUGGAGACAAUGUCAUUACCCAGGAGCAUUUGACAGUGUCUAGAGACAGUCUCAAUUGUCACAACUUAGGGGUUCCUGGCAUCUAGGAGGUGGGGACUAGGGAUGCUGCUAAACAUCCUACAAUGCACAGAACAAACCCCACCCCCCAAAACACAGCAAAGAAAUUAUCCAGCCCAAAAUGUCAAUAUGCUAAGAUCGAGAAACCUGGCUUUUUUGAUAGUGGUGCUUUGAAUAAAUGAAGUCUCUGACAUUGACAUAUUAUGGCACAUUAUAUUUUCCAAUGAAAGUACUGUCCUUUAUUCUAAAAACUUUGGUCUCCGUGUCUGUAAAACAGGCAGAUCACUCAAGGUUGUGCUUCUUUCUGCUGACAAUUUCCCUUUUCUAAAUCAUACGUGUUCUAAUGAUACACUUCCUUUUCCUACCCUGGAGAUUGAUUUCAUGUCCUCUGCUCAGAAACUGGGGGUAUGUUGUAUUGGUGGCUGUACUGCUGGGGGUGAAGCAGGGCAUGAGUAAAGAAGAGAGAGACGGUGGGAGCAAGUGUGCAGAAACUGCACAAAAAGAGGCUUGUUAUUCUGGCCGGCGAGCUGGACACACAUGCUUUUCAGUCCUGAUUUCAGACCAUCGGGCUGCCCUCUGCCCCUACAGCUGCCUGCUCCCUUGCUCCCCAGGAAAAGCUGGAGAAGGAGCAGAGGUUAGCCAGAGAAAGAGCUGGCAGGCAGCAGCAUCAAGACAGCUAUGUCACUGGCAGGAGGAGGGAAAAGGUAAGAUGCCCAGACUAUAGGGCCAGGAGGAUGCACACCAAGGCGGAGAGGACUCAUGCCAAGACAGAAGCUUCAACGUAACCCUGCAUAGACCAUUCUAGAACCAAGUCACGUUCUGUGGUGCCCUGCUUUCUCACCACCACCAUCACUGUGGGCUUUUACCUUGUUGCCAUUUCUACAGUGCCUUAUUGAGGGCUUCGAUGUCUGGGAUAUCUUGAUUAUUUCAUACAGAGCUCCCAAGCUGUAGUCCACCUUGCAGAAGUCAGCUUGGCUGGUUAAACUCGUACUGUGUUUCCUGACCAGCAGUUUCAAAUACUUCAAUGAUGAAACGCAACCACUUGCAGCUGAGGAAGGGAAACGUGUGAAGGACAAGGCUGGAGUUGAGAGUGAAACUCUUGGCCUCCAAAGCUGUCAGUAUUGUCCCUAGAACUUUCCCACACCCAUGGCACUGUCCAUUGUGCCCCCUGGGGACUCAGUGCACCUUUCCUUCAUUGUCAUUAAGCCUUGAAACAAGUGGGCAGAGUAGAUACAAUGUUCUCCUGCUGUACAGAUGUAGAAACUCAGGUUACAAGAUGUUCUGUAACUUCCUGAACGCCAAAGAGCCAAAGAAGCAUUCGCGGGGUUUGAACCCAGAUAAGUGUGACUCCAAGGCCACAUGCAUUCCUCUUAAUUUUACUUUCUUCAUCAGGAAAAGAAAAUGAAAGGGCCACAACACCUAGCCCCAAGGGAGAAGGACAAUUUUCUAGCAUCAUUCAAACUAGCCUUUCUGCCAGCCUCUUUUCCCACCUGCUCCCAUACAUUGUGAAGACGGGCAGGCCACCUUUCUGGGAGUGUCUUCUUCUUGGUCAGCUCUCUCCCCCUGCUCACACCUCCCUAGAAACAGAGAGAAACCAGUGGGUACUCCUGUUAGUUAAGUAGUUCUCAAACUUUAGGGCAGGUUAUGGCACUAAUUUCUGGGCUCUACUUCCAGAUGUUUGGGGCUGGUGAGUGUUGUCAUUCUUUUACAAGACCAACCUGCAAAUCCAGAAUUCUCCUUUAAAAUCUGUAAGAAUCAAAGAUUUCCCCACCUCCUUUGACAAACAGUUUAGUCAAUGCUACCCUCUUGUUAAACCAAACAACCUCAAUGUCUGUGGCUGGGAGAAUAAAUAGAUUAUAGGAUAUUCACAUAGUAGAAACCGUAAAGCAAUGAAAAUUAAUAAACUGCUGCUACCACAUCAA